GUGCCCGCAGCCGCGGUACUACGUAGGGCGCAAGCGUUAUCCGGAAUUAUUGGGCGUAAAGAGCUCGUAGGCGGUUUGUCGCGUCUGCCGUGAAAGUCCGGGGCUCAACUCCGGAUCUGCGGUGGGUACGGGCAGACGAGAGUGAUGUAGGGGAGACUGGAAUUCCUGGUGUAGCGGUGAAAUGCGCAGAUAUCAGGAGGAACACCGAUGGCGAAGGCAGGUCUCUGGGCAUUAACUGACGCUGAGGAGAGAAAGAAGGGGGAGCGAACAGGAGGAUCAACCAAAGGCUUAC
rnacentral:rRNA from 1 species